CCGCCCUUCUGUUUCGCGUUCUCAUACGCAUCAACCGUAACUCGGCAAACAUCGUCUGCUUUCCCCACGGACACUCAUCUGCUUUGACCACGCACACAUGCACGUACACUAGCCCUGCAGCGAAGGAAGUGCACGACUCCGACAUCAGCGCCUCUCUCCUCCCCGAAACUCUCCCGUUCUUUCCAGUGCAUUGCACAAGCACUUACCAUCAAUCUCUGGGUGAAUCCAGCGAGGCAUUCAAGUAUGCAUUCAGUAGCGAAGCGCAAGGAGCAGUCGAUCGCUGUGGCUGUGAUGGCGGCGUCGCCGAUGUGCAUGCAUACGGACACACCGGUGGACACACCAGACGAGCCGAUGGCGACGGAGGAGGAGCUGCGGGCCUGGUCGGAGCUCGAACACAGUCGGCCCACAUCCCCGUCGCCAGCUGGCGGUAACGGAGCCUGGCGGCUGCCCAAGCGGUAUCAGGGAGUUUUUCAAGAGCGCUACAUCCUCAUGGUGCUGGUUCUCACUCUGCUGCUCUUCGUUGCCUCUACAUUUCAGAUGGACACCAAGACGGAGCUGGAAGAGAUCAAGCGCAUGUACGGCAUCGAGGAGCCGAUGAAGCCGUCGACGGAGCGCACUGGCAACAAGAAAGCAGAGAGAGUAUAGGGCGCCUUCAACCCGUGGAUGUGCGGGCGUUUGGGCACCUCGGCGCGCUCGAGUAUCUGCGUCUCUCCACUCAUGAACGUAGACGGGCUUUCUCACGGUUCUUUACUUAGUUUCUUACGAUGUCUUUUCACUGUUCUAUAGCGUUGAUGUGCGCGCCGCGCCACCUCCUCCACUUUGUUGUGAGGCACACUAUCACUGACAGCCCACCCGGCCCCCUCCUUCUCCGACUCCGUUGUCGUUUAACGGGAGGUGGCGAGUGAAGGAGAGAGACAGAGAUGGAGGAAGCGGGUGCAACUCUCUUGGUGGCUGCGUGGUGGCUCACGCACGACGUUGAAGGAAGAAGGCCAAAGGUGAUAAGGGGCUGCUGUGCGUGGCGUGCCCUGCUGUCGCAGAGCCAUCUCAGCAGCACCAGCUUUCAUCUUUCACGCUUCCACUCUUCUAUCGUCCCCCCCCAGAUUAUGCGCACCGUCUCAUAGAAGAUAAUAACCGAAACGAAGAUAUCGCGUUUCCCUUGUAUUGCUGCUGAAUAGAAGAGGAACAGAACAGUGGGAUGGGCGACACGUGCGCAGCUCUCAUGGAUGCACGCAUACACACAAGCACGUGCGCACACGGAUGUGUCGCGCUCUCUCUGCAUGUAUGCGCGCGUAUGUGUGUAUGCAUGUAUGUCCUUUUUUUUUUUCUUGCUGUCGCUGCCUCUUCAAUGAGGAGGAGGGUGCGUGAGAACAAGAGACACAACCAGACCAAAAAAAAAAGAAAACCAUUAAGCACCUGCAUGCUCGUGUUCGCCGCUAUGUGAUAGGAUGCUCGGUAACUCGCCCUCCCCCUCCGUCCCUGCCGCUUUCUCUCUUGCUAGCUUGCUCGCUUGCUGAUGUUCAUUUUUCCGAUUUCCCUCCCUCCUCGUUUGCUUCUGGUGGUCUCCGCCACUCUCACCGCUUUGGCUUCCGCGCUCUCGUUGCGCGCGUCGGGCGUCCGCGUCCGCGUCCGCCUUCUUCGCUUCUUCGCUUGCCUUUGUCAGCUCGGCCUUCUUUUUGUCUGUGGUUUGUUGUGCGCUUGUGAGCGAUAUGCUCAGGAUCCACUGCCCGCUCCUCUUUCUCUCCCUCUGUCUGUGUGCGCACUUCACCACCUCUAUGGCCCGUUAUCGCCGACGAGCAUCACAGCUACUACCACUUUCCUGACAGCUCUCCCCUGUCUCUCUCUUUGUGUAUGCCUGUGUGUGUGUGUGUGGCGCGACCCUUGUUCGUGGUUGUGGAUUUCGGCUCUUUUAGCUGCACACACAUCCGCCGCUUUUUUUUCCUCGCAUGGCUGAGGUGGACAGGCUGUUGCAGCUGUGGACUGUGCUGUGGCUUUCUUGUUCCCUGGCAACUGAACGUGGUGAUGAUCUCGGCGUGCAUGCCCUUGCCUCUGCCCUCCCCAUGCCUCUCUGCGCCUGUUGCGUUGCUUGGUGUGGGCUGAGGACCGGCCAACGCACAUCCGCUUCUCUUCCUUUCCUGUCGUCCUCCCUCGCUAGCAAAAGUGCAAGAGGCCGGGGAGGUCAUGCGUAUGACGACUGUGAUUGUGUGCGUGUGUUUAUGUCUUCUCUGCGCACGCAAACACGACACCCUCUUUCCAUUGCUCUCCGUGCCUCUGUUCGUCUGUGAUCUUGCAGCGCGGGCACACAAGAGGGGCUGGGCUCGGAACGGGUUUAUGCUGUGCGCAUCCCCCUUUCCCUCUCUGUGUGUGCUUUGGUUUCCUCAAGCCAACCGAGCAGACCACACGAACCCAAGAAAAUGCC
rnacentral:misc_RNA from 1 species